rnacentral:lncRNA from 1 species
GGGUUUAAAACACUAAUGCUGAUUGCAUGGAAAAGAUCAGUUUAGGGAUUAAAACCCUAAUGCUGGCUGAAUGGAAAAAGUUCAGUUUAGGGUUUAAAACCCUAAUGCUGACUAAAAGGAAAAUUCAGUUUAGGGUUUUAAAACCCUAAUGUUGAUUGCAUGGAAAAGCUCAGUUUAGGGUUUAAAACCCUAAUGUUGGCUGAAAGGAAAAAGUUCAGUUUAGGGUUUAAAACCCUAAUGCUGACUAAAAAGGAAAAUUCAGUUUAGGGUUUAAAACCCUAAUGCUGAUUGCAUGGAAAAACUCAGUUUAGGGUUUAAAACCCUAAUGCUGACUGAAAGGAAAAUUCAGUUUAGGGU